CGGGACGGGUGAGUAACGCGUGGGUAACCUGCCGUAUGCAGGGGGAUAACACUUAGAAAUAGGUGCUAACACCGCAUAAGCGCACGAGAGCGCAUGCUUUUGUGUGAAAAACUCCGGUGGCAUACGAUGGACCCGCGUCUGAUUAGCCAGUUGGCAGGGUAACGGCCUACCAAAGCGACGAUCAGUAGCCGGCCUGAGAGGGCGGACGGCCACAUUGGGACUGAGACACGGCCCAAACUCCUACGGGAGGCAGCAG
rnacentral:rRNA from 1 species